rnacentral:rRNA from 1 species
ACACGACUACAUUAGAUACCCGGGUAGUCCUAGCCGUAAACGAUACUCGCUAGGUGUCGGCCACGGUGCGACCGUUGUCGGUGCCGUAGGGAAGCCGUGAAGCGAGCCACCUGAGAAGUACGGCCGCAAGGCUGAAACUUAAAGGAAUUGGCGGGGAGCACCACAACGGGUGGAGCUUGCGGUUUAAUUGGAUUCAACGCCGGAAAUCUUACCGGGACCGACAGCAACAUGAAGGCCAGGCUGAAGACUUUGCCGGAUUAGCUG